rnacentral:rRNA from 1 species
GAAUCUGCCUUUAGGACGGGGACAACAGUUGGAAACGGCUGCUAAAACCCGAUGUGCCCUUAGGGGUGAAAUAUUUAUAGCCUGAAGAUGAGCUCGCGUCUGAUUAGCUAGUAGGUGAGGUAAAGGCUCACCUAGGCGACGAUCAGUAACUGGUCUGAGAGGAUGACCAGUCACACUGGGACUGAGACACGGCCCAGACUCCUACGGGAGGCAGCAGUGGGGAAUUUUCCGCAAUGGGCGAAAGCCUGACGGAGCAAUACCGCGUGAGGGAGGAAGGCUCUUGGGUCGUAAACCUCUUUUAUCAGGGAAGAACACAAUGACGGUACCUGAUGAAUCAGCAUCGGCUAACUCCGUGCCAGCAGCCGCGGUAAUACGGAGGAUGCAAGCGUUAUCCGGAAUUAUUGGGCGUAAAGCGUCCGCAGGUGGUUUUGAAAGUUUGCUGUCAAAGCGCGAGGCUCAACUUCGUAACGGCGGUGAAAACUUCAAGACUAGAGCUAGGUAGGGGUCACGGGAAUUCCCAGUGUAGCGGUGAAAUGCGUAGAUAUUGGGAAGAACACCAGCGGCGAAAGCGCGUGACUGGGCCUGAGCU